rnacentral:miRNA from 1 species
CCCUGUACUGAGCUGCCCUGAG